rnacentral:rRNA from 1 species
UACGUAGGGUGCAAGCGUUGUCCGGAAUUACUGGGUGUAAAGGGAGCGUAGGCGGGAUUGUAAGUUGGAUGUGUAAUGUACCGGCUCAACCGGUAACUUGCAUUCAAAACUGCAGUUCUUGAGUGAAGUAGAGGCAGGCGGAAUUCCUAGUGUAGCGGUGAAAUGCGUAGAUAUUAGGAGGAACACCAGUGGCGAAGGCGGCCUGCUGGGCUUUUACUGACGCUGAGGCUCGAAAGCAUGGGUAGCAAAC